UACGAAGGGUGCAAGCGUUACUCGGAAUUACUGGGCGUAAAGCGUGCGUAGGUGGUUCGUUAAGUCUGAUGUGAAAGCCCUGGGCUCAACCUGGGAAUGGCAUUGGAAACUGGCGACCUAGAGUGCGGUAGAGGGUAGUGGAAUUCCCGGUGUAGCAGUGAAAUGCGUAGAUAUCGGGAGGAACACCAGUGGCGAAGGCGACUACCUGGCCUGUUCUUGACGCUGAGGCGCGAAAGCUAGGGGAGCAAACGGG
rnacentral:rRNA from 1 species